UUUUUUUUUUUUUUUGAAAGAAAAGGUAUUAUCAUCUUGCUUCAGUUCAUUAUGGACCAACAAGACCACACAAAACUGAAGUAACCCAGACUAAAAAUUUCAUUAGGCCUAUUAUAGUGUUUAGUUUGGCUAAUAAAAUAUAAUUUAGCAACUGCAAACCUACAUUACAUCUUUAUAAAGGUCAAGUUACUUAACAAAUACAGAAGAACUCAACAAUAGGACUUGUGAUAAUGAUCUUCAAAAGGCCAGAGAAGCUCUUAUUUUAGAAGAGAGAUGGAAGACAUGCUUCCUUCUAGUUUGUGUUGGGGGCAAUACUUAAACAAAAAUCAUAGUUAGAACAGCUCAUUGUGACAAGACAAAUAAAGAAUAAAUUAGCUUACCAUUAAUCAAACCCCCAGAUGAAGAAUAUGGCUUACUCAUUAUCACAUUUUAACAUGUAGAGGAGCACAACACUGAGAAAUCAUUAGCAAGCAUGCUGUGGCCCUCAUGCCAACUUUAAAGGCUAACCAUAAAAAACAUAUAAAUCUUACGGUAAAAAUGUCUAUUAAAUUUCAUAAUCAAAGAACACUUGGGACCUAGGUUUUGAGGCCGAGGAUGAGGAGGAUGGUGGCUAAAUGGUGGUAGGCUUAUCAAGUUUGGGCUAUUGACUUCUAAGUUCACACCAUUAUUAGUAUCAUAUAGAAUUAAGAAAGGAAAGGUGGCUCGAAGAGGAGGGUAAAAGAUGCUAGGUGAGGAUAAGUCCAAAAGGUAGUUGUCUAACAUCAUCAGGUGGUAAAAUUGUUUUGGUAACCUUUGUUCCCCUUAAUGACAACCAACUUUUAGAACAUGUAUGGGCUACCCCUGUUAAAAGAAAAACUAACACAAUUGUAGAUGCACACAGCUUGGUCUUUUUCUAUACACUUAGCUGGCUAAAAAGUAAUUUUUGGACACGACUAUUUCAUUAAUUGAACCAAAUUCCAAUGACAACUUAAUUGGAUUUUCGAAAAGGAUGACUAACUUGUUAACAAUACUAAACGUUAGGGGAAUUUUAGUAAUUUACCCUUCUAUUUUAAAAUUGAAAAAUGCAAAAAUAACUGCCAAUGGGGGAAAACUGCAAUGACAACAAAAAAAAAGUGACCCAACCUGACCCAAAGCCCAAGGGUUAGGUUUGACCUGAAAUGAGAUGCAAAUCCAUCUAACCAAAAUCAAUUUCCACCUCUACCAAUUACUAGUACAAUGGUACAAGUAUCAGUAAUACAGUUUUGCUUUCUUCAAAACAGUGAUUGUUUGUUUGCACUUUGCUGCCAAACUUAACAACAGAUAAAUAAGAUAUGCUGAAUUUUGCUUUAAAUCCAUGUUUAGUCACCUCCUCAAUCAUACAAUCCACUGCAAUCAUCCACAAGAAAAUUAGAAUAAAGUAAUAUUUAGGAAAUAUCAGGUAUAUACAUCCUGGAAUAACCACAUUAAGGCAAAAGAGAUUUCUUUUUUUUUUUAAAUAAUAAUAAUAAUUUGCUAUAUUUUUUGACUUUGAUAACAGAUAAAUUUUAUGAAGUAACUGUAAUGUAUGCUUUUAUACUAGUACUGAGAAAAUGCUUAAUUUCCUUGAUAUUCAGGGGAAAAUUAUGUUAAUAUGUCUGUCCAGCAUAUAUUUGUUUGCUUUUUUCCCACUUCAUUCUGUUGAUUUAUAUUUUUAGUCUUAAGGAAAAGUUGGUUAUUUAAUUGAGAUAUUUGCACCUUUUCUUGUCCAACCAAACAUCUCAACCUGAAACUGUAGCAAGAUGGCUAAACCAUUGAACUCUACAUGUCUUGUAAUUUUUGUGUAACAACACUCAAAUUAACCACAGAUUGGUUCAUAAUGUCAUAGAGAACCUAUCUAAACCAACCUUGAACUAUCUUAUCUAGACCUAUCUAUAGAUUAAAAGAUGUAGUCUUAAAUCAGUUGGAAUGAGGAAAAGGAUCCAUGUGGCUAAUCCCUGUUAGAUUAGGAUCUAGUUAUAGUUGAGUUGAGUUGCAUAGGGAGAGAUACAAGAUAAGCCUAAUUGCCAUGAUCUUUCGGUGCAUGGCAUUCAUUGCAAUAUCUAUAGUAGAGAAUAUUGCAGACUGUAGUGUAGAAUUGUUUCAUGAAUGAUUUUAUUUGUUAGGUUAUUGAAGUUUAUGCUUUUUUCUCUUCAUUUAUUUUUCCAGAUUUUAUAUAUGGAAAAUAUCAAAUAAAUUGCCUUUCUUUUUUAUAUUAAUUUUUAUUCUUUUUUAUGUUUUUCAUUUUAUUGUCUUCCACUCUUCUUUCUUUCUAUAAUUUCAGUUAAGAUGCUUUAAUGGUAUGCAGCACUCAAAGGCAGCAUAAGCUUCAUAAAAUAAUUUGUUCAGGUUGUAUUGGUUUUAAGAUUCCCUUGGCAUGUUUUGAAUUUGUGCUGCAGUACAUUUUGUUGUGGUAUCACAAUAAUGAUUUACAAAGACCUUUGUGUGCAGUUAU
rnacentral:misc_RNA from 1 species